rnacentral:rRNA from 1 species
GGUUAAGUCCCGCAACGAGCGCAACCCCUGUUGUUAGUUGCCAGCAUUCAGUUGGGCACUCUAACAAGACUGCCGACCUUUAAGUCGGAGGAAGGUGGGGAUGACGUCAAGUCAUCAUGGCCCUUAUGUCCAGGGCUACAAACGUGCUACAAUGGUCGAUACAAAGGGUCGCGAACCCGCGAGGGGGAGCCAAUCUCAAAAAGUCGACCUCAGUACAGAUAGGAGUCUGCAACUCGACUCCUUGAAGUCGGAAUCGCUAGUAAUCGCUGAUCAGCAUGGCAGCGGUGAAUACGUUCCCGGGCCUUGUACACACCGCCCGUCACACCAUGGGAGUCGAUUGCUCCAGAAGUGCCUGAGCCAACCGCAAGGAGGCAGGGCCCCAAGGAGUGAUCGGUAACUGGGGUGAAGUCGUAACAAGGUAGCCGUAGGGGAACCUGCGGCUGGAUCACCUCCUU